GCAUCCCUCACCCUUCAUUUCCCGCCUCAGCCCUCACUCCCGCCUCAGCCCUCAGUCCCCGCUUCGCUGUCUCCCCUCUCCGCGCCCGCCUCAGCCCCUCAGCCUCCCCUCAGGUGUCGUGGUGGUUUAACCCCAGCUGCCAGCUAAGCACCACCAACCCCCUGCUCACUUCCCCUUCAACAGAAACUUUGAGAUGGGACUGGGAGGAGGACUGAAGUGUUCAUCUUACCUUCUGGAGUCACGUGCACCGAAAGCCAGAGCAGUUUCUCUUACAAGUUGUUGAGGCACUGUGCCCAGGGGACCAGCUUCACUAUGCGAUGUCCCUGUGACCACGCCAGGUACGAGCCAUCGGGAGCGAAC